rnacentral:rRNA from 1 species
AGAGUUUGAUCAUGGCUCAGAUUGAACGCUGGCGGCAUGCCUUACACAUGCAAGUCGAACGGCAGCGCGGGGUAACCUGGCGGCGAGUGGCGAACGGGUGAGUAACAUAUCGGAACGUACCCUGGAGUGGGGGAUAACGUAGCGAAAGUUACGCUAAUACCGCAUACGAUCUAAGGAUGAAAGUGGGGGAUCGCAAGACCUCAUGCUCGUGGAGCGGCCGAUAUCUGAUUAGCUAGUUGGUGGGGUAAAAGCCUACCAAGGCGACGAUCAGUAGCUGGUCUGAGAGGACGACCAGCCACACUGGAACUGAGACACGGUCCAGACUCCUACGGGAGGCAGCAGUGGGGAAUUUUGGACAAUGGGCGAAAGCCUGAUCCAGCAAUGCCGCGUGUGUGAAGAAGGCCUUCGGGUUGUAAAGCUCUUUUACCCGGGAAGAUAAUGACUGUACCGGGAGAAUAAGCCCCGGCUAACUCCGUGCCAGCCGCCGCGGUAAUUC